rnacentral:misc_RNA from 1 species
AGCAGCCGCGGUAAUUCCAGCUCCAAUAGCGUAUAUUAAAGUUGUUGCAGUUAAAAGCUCGUAGUUGAAUUUCGAGACCGGUUUACUGGUCGUACUUUUGUACGUACUGGUAUCAUUGGUUUCUCCUUUCUGACGAACUAUAAUGCCAUUAAUUUGGUGUUAUAGGGAAUCAGGACUGUUACUUUGAAAAAUUAGAGUGUUUAAAGCAGGCUCACGCUUGAAUACAUUAGCAUGGAAUAACGGAAUAGGACGUUUGAUUCUAUUUUGUUGGUUUCUAGGAUCGACGUAAUGAUUAAUAGGGAUAGUUGGGGGCAUUAGUAUUCAAUUGUCAGAGGUGAAAUUCUUGGAUUUAUUGAAGACUAACUACUGCGAAAGCAUUUGCCAAGGAUGUUUUCAUUAAUCAAGAACGAAAGUUAGGGAUCGAAGACGAUCAGAUACCGUCGUAGUCUUAACCAUAAACUAUGC